UUACUCCUACGGGAGGCAGCAGUGGGGAAUAUUGGACAAUGGGGGCAACCCUGAUCCAGCAAUGCCGCGUGUGUGAAGAAGGUCUUCGGAUUGUAAAGCACUUUCGACGGGGACGAUGAUGACGGUACCCGUAGAAGAAGCCCCGGCUAACUUCGUGCCAGCAGCCGCGGUAAUCGA
rnacentral:rRNA from 1 species